GAGUUGGAUUUAGACUGGCUGCUAGUCUUAUUGUUGUUGAGAAGCCUUGCUACAACUAAUUUUCUAAAGGACCUUUCAGAAUGGCACCUUGCUUAACUGAGUGGUUGUGCUGACUGAAUUUUUCCAUUGCUGAAGAAUCCAUCAGAGCCUCUGUUUACUAAAUAGGCUAUGGAGAAGAUGAUGGUAUUCCGUGCAUUUCUUCAGUACAGCAUGGGGCCCACGCUGUACAGUGUGGAGUAUUCCUUUUGGAGCAGAGGAGGGAAUCUGGAAAACUCCUGCAAGGGCAGAGAAAAUUAGAUCUGCUAAAAGUAGGAGGCUGUGUACGUGGGAUUUUUUUUCUUAGCUUUUUUUUUUUUCUUCUGCUAAUAGUAGAUUCUGUGGGUGUACAACUGCUGACAGCCACAUAUAAACACUGCUGCAGAAUUCUGCUAUCCCUGCUACAAGUUUUGGGCCUGUUGUGCUGUAAUUUCAGAGCUUCUGUUUUUGUAUAUCCAAUUAUAGAUCUUAUUUUGGUGUUGAACUUUCAGCAGGUGGCUAUAGUAGGCACGGAUCUAGCUGAUUUUUUAUAUAUGGAGCCAUAAAAAGCAAGCAGCAGAGGCAAAGCUUGGUUGUAAGCUGAUUGUGUAUUAUUCCCUUUUUCUUACUAAGGAGAAUAAGCAUACAAAUUCUUAUAGACUUGGACUCCUCUGAGCAGAGAUUUUAAAAUAAUAUGGAAAGUAUUAGUGUUCCAUACUUAGACUACCAUUGCGGAUAUACAAGAAAUGAUAAACAAGAGUUAACUGCAUUGUAAAUGUACAUAAUCUCAUGAACUGUUCUCCACUGAAGUCAUAAUUAACUGUCUGCAUGCACAGAGCUAUCCAGUGACGUUUCCUAGCAGCACUUAUCAUCAAGGAUUUGGCACUAGGUUAAAAUGGUUUACACAAAGCCAGUUAGAAAUUGUAAUUUUCAUCAAACAGUACAGUAGUUUUGUCUGUUCUGAUUAAGAACCACACUUAUUUUCUAGCUUAAGGUGUAGUGACAAGUGUCAAAGCAAAUUUUUCAUUGAAGGAGAUAUUGAAUCAUCAGUACUACUUGUUAGAAACAGGAGAAAAUCAUAGUCCUAAUGCAGCAAAAAGAAGAUGGGUGUUGUUGUUGUGUCUGUAACAUGGGAUUCUGGAGAGUAAAUUUGAAAGCUGUUUAAU
ensembl:lncRNA